rnacentral:rRNA from 1 species
GAUGAACGCUGGCGGCGUGCCUAAUACAUGCAAGUCGAGCGAACAGACGAGGAACUUGCUCCUCUGACGUUAGCGGCGGACGGGUGAGUAAAACGUGGAUAACCUACCUAUAAGACUGGGAUAACUUCGGGAAACCGGAGCUAAUACCGGAUAAUAUAUUGAACAGCAUGGUUCAAUAGUGAAAGACGGUUUUGCUGUCACUUAUAGCUGGAUCCGCGCCGCAUUAGCUAGUUGGUAAGGUAACGGCUUACCAAGGCAACGAUGCGUAGCCGACCUGAGAGGGUGAUCGGCCACACUGGAACUGAGACACGGUCCAGACUCCUACGGGAGGCAGCAGUAGGGAAUCUUCCGCAAUGGGCGAAAGCCUGACGGAGCAACGCCGCGUGAGUGAUGAAGGUCUUCGGAUCGUAAAACUCUGUUAUUAGGGAAGAACAAAUGUGUAAGUAACUAUGCACGUCUUGACGGUACCUAAUCAGAAAGCCACGGCUAACUACGUG